UAUGCAGAGUGAAGUCUCAACAGCUGAAACUUACUUGGGAACCAAUGGCGCCCUAACUUAAGAUAAUUCAUGAAACGUUGGUCUCCCUCUGUUGCUGCCCAGGCUCCAGACUGGAGUGUAGUGGCAUGAUCUUGGCUUACUGCCGCCUCCUCUUCCCAGGCUCAAGCGAUCCUCCCACCUUUGCCUCCUGAGUAGCUGAGACUACAGAUGACUUUAAAGAAGGUAGCUUCAGUGAAUCUUACACUUCCAAGAAAAUAAAUCCUGCAAAAAACCUGAGUGAGCUUCAAAGUGGGCCCUUCCCCAAUUCAG